rnacentral:rRNA from 1 species
GAUGAACGCUGGCGGCGUGCUUAACACAUGCAAGUCGAGCGAGUGAGUUCUUCGGAACGAUCUAGCGGCGGACGGGUGAGUAACACGUGGGCAACCUGCCUCAUAGAGGGGAAUAGCCUCCCGAAAGGGAGAUUAAUACCGCAUAAAAUUAUCGAGUGGCAUCACAUGAUAAUCAAAGGAGUAAUCCGCUAUGAGAUGGGCCCGCGGCGCAUUAGCUAGUUGGUGAGGUAACGGCUCACCAAGGCGACGAUGCGUAGCCGACCUGGGAGGGUGAGCGGCCACAGUGGGAGUGAAACCCGGCCCAGACUCCUGCGGUAGGCAGCAGUGGGGAAUAUUGCACAAUGGGGGAAACCCUGAUGCAGCAACGCCGCGUGAGUGAUGAAGGUCUUCGGAUUGUAAAGCUCUGUCUUUGGGGACGAUAAUGACGGUACCCAAGGAGGAAGCCACGGCUAACUACGUGCCAGCCGCCGCGGUAA